GAAGAAGUUGGCCAGCACCAGCAUGGUGAUGAAUUGAGGAGGCGUGUUGGAUCGGAAAUACAGAGACUGGUCGAAGUAGACUGCUACAGAGGUAGUAGACAUAGACAUGGAAUGCCUUGCAGAGGACAAAGAACCAAAACUAACGCUCGCACCAAAAAGGGCAAAGCCGUUGCGAUUGCAGGAAAGAAGAAAGCUCCUCGCAAGUAAACCUGUCUUUCAAUCCAUUCUCUGGGAUUCAUAAGUUGUAAUCCAUGUCACAUUGUUUACAGACAUGGCUUUGUGUUACUUUUGGGAUGAAACUGAUCAAAUAAGUAAACUUGGUUUUUUUUGUAGUCUUUUUUUGUCAUUGUCAUUGCCAUUGCAGGGGAAGAAGAAUGCUUCAAAACUGUUCUGCAAUAGCAAUACUCUAUAUAGCUUCUAUAGUCUGUCUCUUUGUGUGAUUUGUUAUCCUAAAAAAUUGGAUUGAAAUUGAGCCCAUCAACUUUUUGUUUU